rnacentral:tRNA from 1 species
ACCUGGCUGGCUCAGUCAGCAGAGCACGAGACUCUUGAUCUCGGGGUUGUGAGUCUGAGCCCCACAUUGGGUG